GAUGAACGCUAGCGGCAGGCCUAAUACAUGCAAGUCGAACGAGAUUAAGAGGCUUGCUUCUUAUGAAAGUGGCGCACGGGUGCGUAACGCGUAUGCAACCUACCUUAAUCAGGGGGAUAGCCCGAAGAAAUUCGGAUUAAGACCGCAUAAAAACACAGGAUAGCAUUAUCCAAUGUUCAAAUAUUUAUAGGAUUAAGAUGGGCAUGCGUGUCAUUAGCUAGUUGGCGGGGUAACGGCCCACCAAGGCGACGAUGACUAGGGGAUCUGAGAGGAUGACCCCCCACACUGGUACUGAGACACGGACCAGACUCCUACGGGAGGCAGCAGUAAGGAAUAUUGGUCAAUGGAGGGAACUCUGAACCAGCCAUGCCGCGUGCAGGAAGACAGCCCUCUGGGUCGUAAACUGCUUUUAUUCGGGAAUAAACCUUUCUACGUGUAGGAAGAUGAAUGUACCGAAGGAAUAAGGAUCGGCUAACUCCGUG
rnacentral:rRNA from 1 species